AUUGAACGCUGGCGGCAGGCCUAACACAUGCAAGUCGAGCGGAGCGGCGGACGGGUGAGUAAUGCCUAGGUAUCUGCCUGGUAUUGGGGGAUAACGUCCGGAAACGUGCGCUAAUACCGCAUACUAUCAGAUGAGCCUAGGACGUAUUAGCUAGUUGGUGGGGUAAAGUCCUAACAAGGCGACGAUCCGUAACGGGUCUGCGAGGAUGAUCAGUCACACUGGAACGGAGACAAGGUCAAGACUACUACGGGCGGCAGCAGUGGGGAAUAUUGGACAAUGGGCGAAAGCCUGAGCCAGCCAUGCCGCGUGUGUGAAGAAGGUCUUCGGAUUGUAAAGCACUUUAAGUUGGGAGGCGUUACCAACAGAAUAAGCACCGGCUAACUUCGUGCCAGCAGCCGCGGUAAUAC
rnacentral:rRNA from 1 species